rnacentral:rRNA from 1 species
AACGAACGCUGGCGGCAUGCCUAACACAUGCAAGUCGAACGAGACCUUCGGGUCUAGUGGCGCACGGGUGCGUAACGCGUGGGAACCUGCCCUUAGGUUCGGAAUAACUCCCCGAAAGGGGUGCUAAUACCGGAUAAUGUCUUCGGACCAAAGAUUUAUCGCCUUUGGAUGGGCCCGCGUUGGAUUAGCUAGUUGGUAGGGUAAAAGCCUACCAAGGCGACGAUCCAUAGCUGGUCUGAGAGGAUGAUCAGCCACACUGGGACUGAGACACGGCCCAGACUCCUACGGGAGGCAGCAGUGGGUAAUAUUGGACAAUGGGCGAAAGCCUGAUCCAGCAAUGCCGCGUGAGUGAUGAAGGCCUUAGGGUUGUAAAGCUCUUUUACCCGGGAUGAUACUGACAGUACCGGGAGAAUAAGCUCCGGCUAACUCCGUG